rnacentral:tRNA from 1 species
GGGGUUGUGGCUCAGUGGUAGAGCGCUUGCCUAGCAUGUGUGAGGCACUGGGUUCAAUCCCUAACACCA